GUCAGUGAGUGUGUUACUGUGUGUGUCUUACUGAGUGUGUGUGUUAGUGAGUCUGUUUGAUGUCUGUUAGUGAGUGUGUGUUUGUCAAUGAGAGUGUAUGUUUUGUAAGUGAGUGUGUAUGUAUGUCUGUCGCUGACUGUGUCUCUGUCAGUAAAUGUGUGUGUCUGUUAGCUAGUGUGUAUGCGUCUGUAAGUGUGUGUGUGUGUGUGUGUGUCUUCAGCACUUACCUUUCUCCAGCGCCGGACUCCCUUGGCGCUG